rnacentral:pre_miRNA from 1 species
UACUUGGAAAGGCACCAGUUACUUAGAUUACACGUAACUGUUCCCUUUCUGAGUAGA